rnacentral:rRNA from 1 species
UAUUGGACAAUGGGCGCAAGCCUGAUCCAGCAAUGCCGCGUGAGUGAAGAAGGCCUUAGGGUUGUAAAGCUCUUUCGGCGGGGAAGAUGAUGACGGUACCCGCAGAAGAAGCCCCGGCUAACUCCGUGCCAGCAGCCGCGGUAAUACGGAGGGGGCUAGCGUUGUUCGGAAUUACUGGGCGUAAAGGGCGCGUAGGCGGUGCGGUAAGUUAGGCGUGAAAGGCCCGGGCUCAACCCGGGAACUGCGCUUAAAACUGCCGCGCUCUGAGUCCGAGAGAGGAUAGCGGAAUUCCCAGUGUAGAGGUGAAAUUCGUAGAUAUUGGGAAGAACACCAGUGGCGAAGGCGGUCUGCUGGGCCGUUGCUGACGCUGAGGCGCGAUAGCGUGGGGAGCAAACA